CCUACGGGCGGCAGCAGUGGGGAAUAUUGGACAAUGGGGGCAACCCUGAUCCAGCCAUGCCGCGUGUGUGAAGAAGGCCCUCGGGUUGUAAAGCACUUUCAGUGAGGAAGAACGCCUGGUGGUUAAUACCCAUCAGGAAAGACAUCACUCACAGAAGAAGCACCGGCUAACUCCGUGCCAGCAGCCGCGGUAAUACGGAGGGUGCGAGCGUUAAUCGGAAUUACUGGGCGUAAAGCGCGCGUAGGUGGCUUGAUAAGCCGGUUGUGAAAGCCCCGGGCUCAACCUGGGAACGGCAUCCGGAGCUGUCAAGCUAGAGUGCAGGAGAGGAAGGUAGAAUUCCCGGUGUAGCGGUGAAAUGCGUAGAGAUCGGGAGGAAUAGCAGUGGCGAAGGCGGCCUUCUGGACUGACACUGACACUGAGGUGCGAAAGCGUGGGUAGCAAACAGGAUUAGAUACCCUUGUAGUC
rnacentral:rRNA from 1 species